rnacentral:misc_RNA from 1 species
GAUGAAGAACGUAGCGAAAUGCGAUAAGUAAUGUGAAUUGCAGAAUUCAGUGAAUCAUCGAAUCUUUGAACGCACAUUGCGCCCGCCAGUAUUCUGGCGGGCAUGCCUGCCCGAGCGUCAUUUCAACCAUCAAGCCCCGGGCUUGUGUUGGGGACCUGCGUCCGACGCAGGCCCCGAAAACCAGUGGCGGGCUCGCUGUCCACACCGAGCGUAGUAGCUAACCUCGCUCCGGAGUGGCGCGGGCGCCUGCCGUAAAACCCCCCAAUUUUACAAGGUUGACCUCGGAUCAGGUAGGAAUACCCGCUGAACUUAAGCAUAUCAAUAAGCGGAGGA